UGUAUCUGAAGUCAAUUAAAUAUGUAACUGAAUUUAAUUAUCUUCACAGAUCAUUUUAAAGGACUUCCAGCAUGUUGUUCUUGUGUAGCAGGGACAGCAGCGUGCAUCUAUAUUGUUUCAGCACUGUACCAGACAGCACACUUUUCAGAACUGGCAGUUCCUCCUGUACAUAACUGCACUGAAAUGGAGCAGAGCUGGUAUAAACCGAGAACAAAGGGAGUCAAGCCAGGUCCUGUCAGUGGGAUGGUUGUCUAGUUUGCAAGACAGAAAGAAAAGAAACUCACCAAGAUAAUAAAGGAGAACACUUUAUAGUGGUGUCUGCCUGACCUAUCAGACCUUACAGUGGCGAGCAAGAAACAGUAUUGUGUAAGGCCAGAUCUCUCUGUGGAAGAAAGACUGAAAGGUGGACCAUGAAGAAGAAGAACUCAUUGAUGGGCUGCAGAGACUGAAACUGUCAAAAUA